GUCACCGCGACGGUUGGCCGCUGGCUAAUGUCUACCCUACUGUAGUGCAGAUGUGUGGAUGCGGAUUCCUGCGCGAAUUGAGAUGAUCAGGGUACGCAGAGGCAAGGUCAAAGUUUGCCCAGUGGCUAUUUUCUUGGGCGCGGCGCGUUUUUCAUGAUAUCGAAAACAUAUCGAGAAAGAGACAGAGACAGCCGAAAAUGUAUAGUACCGUAUAACCAUGGAGAUUUAAAUACAACACACCUAUUUAGUUAAUUGGCCAGG